rnacentral:ribozyme from 14 species
ACAGAUGGAGAAAGAAAGAAAGAAAGAAAGAAAUGAGAAGAGUUGUGUUGCCCAGUAGUGUAUUAACACCUUUUUUUUUCUUAACAUUUUUGGGUACCUUU